CACAUUUUCCUCUCCCUAUCUCUAAUUUGAGGUUCCUCUCACUCUCGUUCCUCUCUUCCUCUUUUCCUCUCUAAACCCUCCUCCAAGAACACUCCUCCCUCCGCCCCCGUGCUUUUCUCGGCUCCCCCACCACUAACCAAGCCCCCUCAAUCAAACUGCUCCAGCAAUGAGUCCAGACCUUGGAGAGAGAGGUUGACGCCACCAUCACCGCUACCGCUUGCGUUCGCUCUGAGAAACGACAAGCCGAGGCCGCUCAAAAAGUCGCUGAAUCACGUCCUCAACAGCUCACCGCCAAACUUGAAAACACCACAACUAGGUGUUUGAGUUGAACAUGGAAGAGUUGCGUGCGAAGCAAGGAGAAAUCGAGAAGCGAGACGACGACAUCAAGUUUCUCGAAGCUAUAAUUCGAAGAUUUGGAGCAAAAGGAAUUCCCAACCCUUUCGACUCCAACUUUCAUUUCAUCGGACAAGACCAAACCCUAACCCUUUCUUAUUGUAUGAUAUGAGAUUGAGAUGUAGUUUUCAUGUUAAUUUUUAAAUUCUUUCGGUGGUUUAGGUUAGAUUGAGUUUCUUGAGUUUUAAAUCGGAGAGAUGAACCACCACCACAACAAUAGAGCGAGGUACCCUCCCGGAAUGGGGCUUGGGCGAUUGAGAUGUAGUUUUCUCUCGUCUUCAUCUUCAUCUUCAGGGCGUUUCUUCUUCUUCUCGUUUCUACCUUCACAUUUAGUUUUUCAGUAAUCUGCGAAAGAAGGACUCAUCCUUUGAUAUGGUCUCCGACAAGAGCUGGUGGAAGAACUAUGAAUGAGCUUGACUUCCGGAACCGAAGAGUGUUGGGAAAGGAACUUCUCCAAAUUCCUUCUCAGUUAAAUAAUUUUGCAAGUAUCUCAGUAUUUGAAUUUGUUGUGGGACACGGAGAGUUAUGGUCUGCACAGAUGUUGUCUUUAGUAAUUAAGAAACAAGGGAUUGACUGCAAAUGGAUGAAUGCGAGGGAAGUUCUUAUUGUAAAACCUACUCGUUCUGAUCGAGUUGAUCCAGAUUACUUGGAAUAUGAACGAAGACUUGAGAAGUGGUACUCUCUAAAUCCAUAUGAUGUAAUCGUUGCCACAGGAUUUAUUGCAAGCACACCUCAGAAUAUUCCUACUACUCUCAAGAGAGAUGGAAGUGACUUUUCGGUAGCUAUUAUGUGUGCUGGCUCGCCAGGUCACAAUUUGGAUAGAUAUAGACGGCAUGUAUAGUGCAGAUCCCAAAAAAGAUCUUUAAUGAUUCAUCUCCCAUGAAAGAUGCAGACAUUGAAGACAUUAGAUGAAACUCGGCUUCUUUUAUUUUAAGUGUUAGUAGAAACUUAGCUACAUCUCAAUAGUGUAUGUACAUUAAUGUAAUAUUUAGAUUUAAUAUAUAAUUUCAUGUAUAAAUGAUGUAUUAAAUAUUAUUAUACAAUUUAAUGUUUGAAAAAAUUCUAUUUUGUUAGUUC